AACGAACGCUGGCGGCAGGCCUAACACAUGCAAGUCGAACGCUGUAGCAAUACAGAGUGGCAGACGGGUGAGUAACGCGUGGGAACAUACCCUUCGGUUCGGAAUAACUCAGGGAAACUUGAGCUAAUACCGGAUACGUGCGAGAGCAGAAAGAUUCAUCGCCGAAGGAUUGGCCCGCGUUCGAUUAGCUUGUUGGUGAGGUAAUGGCUCACCAAGGCGACGAUCGAUAGCUGGUCUGAGAGGAUGAUCAGCCACAUUGGGACUGAGACACGGCCCAAACUCCUACGGGAGGCAGCAGUGGGGAAUAUUGGACAAUGGGCGAAAGCCUGAUCCAGCCAUGCCGCGUGAGUGAUGAAGGCCCUAGGGUUGUAAAGCUCUUUCGUCAGGGACGAUAAAUGACGGUACCUG
rnacentral:rRNA from 1 species